UGGGGAAUAUUGGACAAUGGGCGCAAGCCUGAUCCAGCCAUGCCGCGUGAGUGAUGAAGGCCUUAGGGUUGUAAAGCUCUUUCGCCGACGAAGAUAAUGACGGUAGUCGGAGAAGAAGCCCCGGCUAACUUCGUGCCAGCAGCCGCGGUAAUACGAAGGGGGCUAGCGUUGUUCGGAAUCACUGGGCGUAAAGCGCACGUAGGCGGAUUGUUAAGUCAGGGGUGAAAGCCUGGAGCUCAACUCCAAGAACUGCCCUUGAUACUGGCAAUCUCGAGUCCGGAAGAGGUAAGUGGAACUGCGAGUGUAAGAGGUGAAAAUUCGUAGAUAUUCGCAAGAACACCAGUGGCGAAGGCGGCUUACUGGUCCGGUACUGACGCUGAGGUGCGAAAGCGUGGGGAGCAAAACAGGAUUAGAUACCCUGGUAGUCCACGCCGUAAACGAUGGAGGCUAGCCGUUGGCGAGCAUGCUCGUCAGUGGCGCAGCUAACGCAUUAAGCCUCCCGCCUGGGGGAGUACGGUCGCAAGAUUAAAACUCAAAUGAAUUGACGGGGUCAUAGCUGUUU
rnacentral:rRNA from 1 species